rnacentral:rRNA from 1 species
UACGUAGGGACCGAGCGUUGUCCGGAAUCAUUGGGCGUAAAGAGCGUGUAGGCGGCCACUUAAGUCCUGCGUGAAAUCUUGCGGCUCAACCGCAAGCGGUCGUGGGAAACUGGGUGGCUAGAGUGCGGGAGAGGAGAGUGGAAUUCCUGGUGUAGCGGUGAAAUGCGUAGAGAUCAGGAGGAACACCCGGGGCGAAGGCGGCCCUCUGGCUCGACCCUGACGCUGAGGCGCGAAAGCGUGGGGAGCGAACAGG